ACACAACUCUGGAGAGUCCCUUAAAUGGGCGCCGAAGGUGCAAAGCUUGCUGCGAGGGAACACAAUAAUGUGCGUAGCAAACUAAUCUCUCAGGCCAAAGGACGGAGCA
rnacentral:ncRNA from 1 species